CCCAAUUUCUGCACUUCGUCUUCUUCCCUAAACCGACAAUCCAUCCACACUCCACAGAAAUGGAGACGAAGCCAUAGAAAAUCAAAAGAGCACCUCACUCCGUAAUCCAUCGGUUCAACCCAGUCUUCUUCCCCAUUUCUGCCCUUCGUGGUCGUCUUCCUCGCAAAGCCAUAGACGACCACUCCGUACAUAGAAAUGGAUACAAAUCCAUCAAAAACCAAAAGCUCACUUUACCCUGUAAUAUCUAACACCAAAUUUAACUCCAAUUCGCACCUAAUUAGCUAAAAUAAUCAUCGUAAACCAAUUAUUGCAGUCCUUCGUACCGUCUUCAACAUAAGUUGCAUCGAAAGAGAAAACUCAACAUCCAUAGCUAUACAUAGGCUGUCUACAUCACCUGAUCUAUGUACACCUGAGAGUGAAGGAAGAAAAAUAAGAGUUGAAAGCCAUUCCAAAGAUUUGACGGUGUACAUAUAGAGCAAUCACGAAGUCGAAAAGUUCCUCUCCAAAAAUCCCAAAAUCUAAGACAAAAUUGAUAAAGGCCCUAUCUGGCCACACAAGUUCCGUAGAGUCUAUAACUUUUGAUUCAGCUGAGAUUUUAGUAACUGCUGGAUCUUCAUCCAGGUUAAUAAAGGUGUGGGAUCUAGAAGAUUCAAAAAACGUGCACGCGGCCGUGAGCCUUGAUAUUAUUUCAAGAACAGUUAAUCCAUUCUCUCUCUCCUAUAUUCUCUCUACAAAGGAUCUUCGACUCUCUCACCGGUCGAAGAUCCAGCGGCUCUUUCAUCCGUCUUCAUCCGUUUCGCUCGUCGUCCUCAAUCGCUCCUAAAUCAGUCAUCCGUCUUCGCUGCUCCUUCCUCCGUCUUCGCUCGUCGUCCUCGAUCGAAUCACCGGUCUUCGUCCGUUUGAGCCAGGUCGCUCCAUCAUCGUCUUCGCUCGUCGUCCUUGAUCGCUCCUUCAGUCAUUCGUCUUCGCUCGUCGUCCUCGAUCGACUCACCGGUCUUCGUCCGUCAGAAUUUGAGCCAGGUCGCUCCAUCAUCGUCUUCGCUCGUCGUCCUUGAUCGCUCCUUCAGUCAUCCGUCUUCGCUCCGUCUUCGCUCGUCGUCCUCGAUCGCAAUCACCGGUCUUCGUCCGUCAGGAUUUGAGUUACCUCAUGGCUAAUACGCAGGAUUCUGCUGUGUUACGGCGCCAUCUUCAGGAGUUAGAGCAAACCGUUUUAGCGGAAGGACGGCUGUAUAAUGACCUGAUUGUUCAACUACACCAACUAGAUGCAGAUAUUAAAACCAGUCAAGAUCAGUUGGGUACCUUAAAUAAUGAUAUUUUGAAUAUGACGCUUAAGAAAGCUGCUUUAAGUACCCAACUAGAAGCGGAGACUAUUGAGGUUCAGAGGACAGCUUCGAUGAAACAAGCUUUGAAGGACAAAAUGGGGGAGGUUGCAAGCUUCAUUCAAACUGCCUUUGAGUAGCCUAUUCUGAUGUUAAAUACAUAUAUGAUGGCCUUAACUUUUUUGAGAUGAAAGCAUUAACUAGUUCUUAUGUUUUUCUGAUAUAAGAAUUUGCACUGUUCUCAGCUUCUGUAGAGGUUACUUACAUUCAUUUUGGUGUGACAAAGUUUAGAUGCCCUAGACAAAGUGAUCAGUAUUUGUUCUUACUUUUUGUUGAACAGCUAUAACAAAGAAUCUGAACAUUCUCUUAUGAUUUGCUUUUGCAACUUAGUUCUUU